rnacentral:tRNA from 1 species
GGGGAGGUAGCUCAGUGAUAGAGCACCUGCCUGGCAUGCCCAAGAUCUUGGGUUCUAAUCCCAGCACCUCCA